rnacentral:snRNA from 1 species
AGCUUUGUGCAGUGGUAGUAUCGUAGCCAAUGAGGGUUAUCCGAGGCACGAUUAUUGCUAAUAGAAGGUGCUAAGAAUGAAUCUUAAAAGUUCUCAUCACAAAAAAAAACUUUGCAACUAUGCAAGGUGACGAGUAUU